rnacentral:lncRNA from 1 species
CAGGGAGGCCUGGCAUGCUGCAAUUCAUGGGGUUGCAAAGAGUCGGACACGACUGAGCGACUGAACUGAACUGACCGGGAGUAAUCCAAGAGUCCCUCCCACCUAGCUAAAUGCAAGCUCGGACUUAGCUGCGCUCACCAGCCUCUGCUAGCUUUUCCUGCCGGCAGCUGGUUAGUGCGCAAGGACUUCUAGGGCUUGUAGUCCUGAUAGCUCCGGAGCUGGACGCGCCUGCGCGUUGGCCGCCAACUCGUUCUAAGAGCUGUGGUCCGGGCUCGGGACCGGCUGCCAUCUUAGUCGAGGGACUGAAGAGUAGCCGCCGCCCCGAGUCCCGGGGAUUGGUUUCUUCCAAGUUGCGGGGAUAGUCCUUACUGUGACCUCAAAAGGUAGAGUAUGUAUUUAUAUGGCCAUCCUCAUUUUGUGAUGUAGUUAUACGCAGGUGGGGAGUUACCCUAUUGUAUGGGUUAAGGCAAAAGUGUAUUAAAGCCCCACCCCCGCAACCUCAUCUUUAUGGCACCUAGCCAAAUUUUGGGCUUAUAAUAUGCACUCAGUAAAGGCAUGUUGUUUUUUUUUUUUUUUUGGCAUGUUGAUUUUUGUGGCUGUAAAUGAUACUGGCUUUGAGUCAGUAUAAGUUAGCAAGUGGGGUUGAAGAAUUGAAUUGCAGCAUUCUCUCAUUGAG